GAUUGAGGAGAGUCAAACAUGGUAUAACUGGACGAAUACUAAUUGAAUUUUACCGUACUAUAUUUUUUAUUUUUUAUUUUUAUCUUGCACCUACACCUACUACACGUCUCUAGAGUCUUCUUUAAAAAAUCAAAAAUCAAAUCAGCAAACGCAAGCAGAAGACAGAAGCUUCAAUCCCAUCUCAGAUCUGUUCUCACUUCUCAAUAUUAAAUCAAAAUAUCACUCCCAAUCUCAGAAGUCUCCGUUCUCUCUACUCCCAAUCUCAAGUCUCUCUAGUCUCAGGUCUCAACCCUUCACUGACUUCACUCCAUACCCUCCACAAUCCAAACCCCAGCUGUUGCCGCCGCCGCCUCAUCAACACACUCACAGCUUCGCCUCACUGUCCACCAUGGGUUAAGGCUUCUCAUGUUGACGGAUCAGUUUCUUAGUCUCAAAACUCAGAGCAGGACCUUUAAAAUUGUGAAGAAAAGUACAAUUGGAAUAGAUGGAGAACCUCUGCCCUAUAUAAGAUACAGAAAUACAUGCAUCAUUGAUACCGAGAUAUUCUUUUGAAAUUUCAUAGCAUUAAUUGAAGAAGAGGGGAGCUGUAUAUUGAGAUAUUCUUUUGAAAUUUCAUAGCAUUAAUUGAAGAAGAGGGGAGCUGUAUAUUGAAGGAGACGAAGGAUUUUGGGUUUUGAUUAUUGUAGAAGGGGAGGUGAACCUGAAAAUACACGGGUGUGAAGAGCAAUGUUUUAUUCACCCAAAAAAGAAAAAAGAAAA